rnacentral:lncRNA from 1 species
AGUCGAAGUCGUCCACACUAUCAAAGCCCUUUUGGUAUACUUUUGGUUGAACUCUGAAAAUGGCAUGUAUAGGACUACCCUUUUUGUUGUUGGUCAUGUACCCUUUGGUUUUGUAUAAAUUUGGAUAGCCAUGCGAAAAUGGCUUAUAUACACUUUGAGCAUAGCAUUAUAAUCGUCUUGUAUGUUGUUCAUUGAGAGGUA